ACCCAGCAGUGGGCUUCCCCGCAUGUUGCCUUUUUCAAUCUUUGCACCUCGAAGGAAAGGAAAUGGAGGCUAUGACAGAUUAGAUCUUGCCCAAGGACUCAUAGCUGGUAUUGCAGAAGUCCCCUCCUUGCAAGGAGUUUCCCCACUUUACCCCAACUGUGAGACCUUGAACAAGAAAACCUUUCUGCGCCAGACAGGGAGGCCGCCCACAGGAACCGUGUGGUUUGCAUGAACACACCCGUGCUUGAUGCACUACACCCGAAGGUUGGCCUCGCUGUGACAGCCUCCCACGGGCUGGGGUGGCUCCUGCUUCUGGACCCAUCCCCAGCCACGGUUCCGGAUAAGCAGGGCCAGGCCUGCUCCCUCUCGGCACGCCAACCGGCGGCGGGGUCCCGGAUACCGUGCAGUGAACAAGUGGCACGUGGACACAGAG